UUUAAGGUCUAAUCUGCCCUAUGAGGAAUUAAAUGGCCGCGGUAUUUUGACCGUGCAAAGGUAGCAUAAUAAUUAGUUUUUUAAUUGAAAGCUGGAAUGAAUGAUUGGACGAGAAAAUUUCUGUCUCAAUUUAAUUUAAUUAGAAUUUUAUUUUUAAGUAAAAAAGCUUAAAUUUUUUUAAAAGACGAGAAGACCCUAUAGAGUUUUAUAUAUUUUUGUAUAUUAGAUUUUUGGAAUUUUAUUUUUAUUAUUUAUAUAUGAAUAUAUUUUGUUGGGGUGACAGAAAAAUUAAAUUAACUUUUUUUAUAUUUUUACAUUAAUUUAUGGUUGAAUGAUCCAUUUUUUAUGAUUAUAAGUUUAAAUUACCUUAGGGAUAACAGCGUAAUUAUUUUUUAGAGUUCUUAUCGAAAAAAUAGAUUGCGACCUCGAUGUUGGAUUAAAAUAAAUGUUUGGUGUAGGGGCUAAAUAGUUAGGUCUGUUCGACCUUUAAAAUUUUACA
rnacentral:rRNA from 1 species